UUAUGCUCAUUUUCCAUCAUUGAUCACAUUUUUAUGCCUACAAUCCUUCAUACAUCCAAAGGUAGAUCUUAAAGAAAGAAACCAUGAAGGUCAUAUAACAAAAAGUGUUGUUGCUAGAAUAGUGGGUGGUAUUGCUAGGCAAAAGUAACUAGUUGAUGAACCAUCCAAGGUAGAACCUUCUGAUUAUCCAGUUGAGUCGAAACUGGAUCCUGAGCCAAAACCAGCUACUCAUCCUGCC
rnacentral:lncRNA from 1 species